rnacentral:tRNA from 8 species
GCGCCCGUAGCUCAGCUGGAUAGAGCAACGGCCUUCUAAGCCGUGGGUCGCAGGUUCGAAUCCUGCCGGGCGCACCA